AACACCUCUCCCCAGCUCCAGCAACUGCUGCAGCUGUGCAGGGCAGUCCCUCUCCAGGUAGGCCCUGUUCUGCCUGGCCCGAAUCUUGUGCCUUUCCCACUCCAGCUUGGUGGGCCAGGCCCUGGGUUCUGCUGCUCUCCAAUCCAGUGUGUCAGGGCAGAAUUCAAGGUGGUCCUGCCCAUCAUACCCGUACUUCCAGUAGCCCUCGGUACUGUUGUCUUCUUGCAUUUCACAGCCCAGGAUGACCUGCAGGGUGUGGGACUCUGGAAAAAUCCCCAGCCUUGUUAACUGCAACCAAAGGAAUAGGUCCCUAUUUCCACCAUCCCCAAGGACCAAAUGAUCUCAGGAAGCAAAUUCCUUCCCUCUUCCCUGCUCCCACAAGACCUCAGACUUCCAGCUGUUUCCUUCAAGAUGCAUGAAAAGAUGAAAAGCUCUGACAACCUCAGGAAGGUGAGGCCCCCUCUCCACAUACCCUUGCUGUGGUUGUGAUUUUCCAUAAUAGUCCAGAAGUCAACAGUGAACAUGUGAUCCCACCCUUUCAGACUCUGACUCAGCUGCAGCCACAUCUGGCUUGAAAUUCUACUGGAAACCCAUGGAGUUCGGGGCUCCACACGGCGACUCUCAUGAUCAUAGAACACGAACAGCUGGUCAUCCACGUAGCCCAAAGCUUCAAACAAGGAAAGACCAAGGUCCUGCUCUGAGGCACCCAUGAAGAGGUAGUGCAGAGAGUGUGAACCUGGAGACAGAGCAACAGGCCUUAACCAUGUGUAGUAGGAGGGGAGCAGGAUGUUGAGGCUCCACACACCUGCAUCAACUCAUACCAUCAGCUGUGUCUGGUCCUCAUUUUGUGAAGGGCAAAAGAACAAUUGCCAAGAGUGGGGAAAGGCCCGAG
rnacentral:lncRNA from 1 species